AGAACUCGGGAGAACCCGUGGCAGC
rnacentral:misc_RNA from 1 species